CUUCCUUUUCUCCUUUUUCUUCCGUUAAUUAAAUGUUUUAGAAAUAUAGGUAGGUGUUGGGCGUACAGAGAGGGAGAACGCAAGCAGCGGACAACUUCUCCCCGCAGAUCCGAUAGGCGUGCUGGGAUGGCAAACGAAGCGGGUCGGGUGCAGGGACACCAACUAUUGUAUUUUCAAAUUGUCCGAGCCCUGGACCCCGGCGGCUCCGCAACGGUGGCUGUCAACACCGCGAGCGAAGGUUCCACGAGCAGCGAGCGGCCUCGCCGGGACGGCCGCAGGUAGCAUGGAACAUAUGGAAUCCACUGACUUCAGGAAAUAUUUUCAGAGUGCACACAUAUUUCUUCAAGACGUUAACAUCCCAGGGGAGAAGGAGGAAUAAAAACAUGACAGGGAGUAAUUUAAAAUGGCAGGUACUGCAGUUUUCUUUUCCUGUGCUGGAAACCUGAU
rnacentral:lncRNA from 1 species